CUGGGAGGACCAUCUCCUAAGGCUAAAUACUCUCUAGUGACCGAUAGUGAACCAGUACCGUGAGGGAAAGGUGAAAAGCACCCCGGAAGGGGAGUGAAAUAGAACCUGAAACCGUGUGCUUACAAGUAGUCAGAGCCCGUUAAUGGGUGAUGGCGUGCCUUUUGUAGAAUGAACCGGCGAGUUACGAUUUGAUGCAAGGUUAAGCAGUAAAUGUGGAGCCGUAGCGAAAGCGAGUCUGAAUAGGGCGUUUAGUAUUUGGUCGUAGACCCGAAACCAGGUGAUCUACCCUUGGUCAGGUUGAAGUUCAGGUAACACUGAAUGGAGGACCGAACCGACUUACGUUGAAAAGUGAGCGGAUGAACUGAGGGUAGCGGAGAAAUUCCAAUCGAACCUGGAGAUAGCUGGUUCUCUCCGAAAUAGCUUUAGGGCUAGCCUCAAGUGAUGAUUAUUGGAGGUAGAGCACUGUUUGGACGAGGGGCCCCUCUCGGGUUACCGAAUUCAGACAAACUCCGAAUGCCAAUUAAUUUAACUUGGGAGUCAGAACAUGGGUGAUAAGGUCCGUGUUCGAAAGGGAAACAGCCCAGACCACCAGCUAAGGUCCCAAAAUAUAUGUUAAGUGGAAAAGGAUGUGGCGUUGCCCAGACAACUAGGAUGUUGGCUUAGAAGCAGCCAUCAUUUAAAGAGUGCGUAAUAGCUCACUAGUCGAGUGACACUGCGCCGAAAAUGUACCGGGGCUAAACAUAUUACCGAAGCUGUGGAUUGUCCUUUGGACAAUGGUAGGAGAGCGUUCUAAGGGCGUUGAAGCAUGAUCGUAAGGACAUGUGGAGCGCUUAGAAGUGAGAAUGCCGGUGUGAGUAGCGAAAGACGGGUGAGAAUCCCGUCCACCGAUUGACUAAGGUUUCCAGAGGAAGGCUCGUCCGCUCUGGGUUAGUCGGGUCCUAAGCUGAGGCCGACAGGCGUAGGCGAUGGAUAACAGGUUGAUAUUCCUGUACCACCUAUAAUCGUUUUAAUCGAUGGGGGGACGCAGUAGGAUAGGCGAAGCGUGCGAUUGGAUUGCACGUCUAAGCAGUAAGGCUGAGUAUUAGGCAAAUCCGGUACUCGUUAAGGCUGAGCUGUGAUGGGGAGAAGACAUUGUGUCUUCGAGUCGUUGAUUUCACACUGCCGAGAAAAGCCUCUAGAUAGAAAAUAGGUGCCCGUACCGCAAACCGACACAGGUAGUCAAGAUGAGAAUUCUAAGGUGAGCGAGCGAACUCUCGUUAAGGAACUCGGCAAAAUGACCCCGUAACUUCGGGAGAAGGGGUGCUCUUUAGGGUUAACGCCCAGAAGAGCCGCAGUGAAUAGGCCCAAGCGACUGUUUAUCAAAAACACAGGUCUCUGCUAAACCGUAAGGUGAUGUAUAGGGGCUGACGCCUGCCCGGUGCUGGAAGGUUAAGAGGAGUGGUUAGCUUCUGCGAAGCUACGAAUCGAAGCCCCAGUAAACGGCGGCCGUAACUAUAACGGUCCUAAGGUAGCGAAAUUCCUUGUCGGGUAAGUUCCGACCCGCACGAAAGGCGUAACGAUUUGGGCACUGUCUCAACGAGAGACUCGGUGAAAUCAUAGUACCUGUGAAGAUGCAGGUUACCCGCGACAGGACGGAAAGACCCCGUGGAGCUUUACUGUAGCCUGAUAUUGAAAUUCGGCACAGCUUGUACAGGAUAGGUAGGAGCCUUUGAAACGUGAGCGCUAGCUUACGUGGAGGCGCUGGUGGGAUACUACCCUAGCUGUGUUGGCUUUCUAACCCGCACCACUUAUCGUGGUGGGAGACAGUGUCAGGCGGGCAGUUUGACUGGGGCGGUCGCCUCCUAAAAGGUAACGGAGGCGCUCAAAGGUUCCCUCAGAAUGGUUGGAAAUCAUUCAUAGAGUGUAAAGGCAUAAGGGAGCUUGACUGCGAGACCUACAAGUCGAGCAGGGUCGAAAGACGGACUUAGUGAUCCGGUGGUUCCGCAUGGAAGGGCCAUCGCUCAACGGAUAAAAGCUACCCCGGGGAUAACAGGCUUAUCUCCCCCAAGAGUUCACAUCGACGGGGAGGUUUGGCACCUCGAUGUCGGCUCAUCGCAUCCUGGGGCUGUAGUCGGUCCCAAGGGUUGGGCUGUUCGCCCAUUAAAGCGGUACGCGAGCUGGGUUCAGAACGUCGUGAGACAGUUCGGUCCCUAUCCGUCGUGGGCGUAGGAAAUUUGAGAGGAGCUGUCCUUAGUACGAGAGGACCGGGAUGGACAUACC
rnacentral:rRNA from 1 species